CACACAGUGAACCCUGGGAGGUAGGGAGCC
rnacentral:piRNA from 1 species